UACGUAGGGGGCUAGCGUUGUCCGGAAUCAUUGGGCGUAAAGAGCUCGUAGGCGGCUCAGUAAGUCGGAUGUGAAAACUCGGGGCUCAACCCCGAGACGCCAUCCGAUACUGCUGUGGCUUGAGUCUGGUAGGGGAACACGGAAUUCCUGGUGUAGCGGUGAAAUGCGCAGAUAUCAGGAGGAACACCGAUGGCGAAGGCAGUGUUCUGGGCCAGUACUGACGCUGAGGAGCGAAAGCGUGGGUAGCAAACAGG
rnacentral:rRNA from 1 species